rnacentral:lncRNA from 1 species
ACUGUCUCUCCUUUGUGCAUCUUGGACUCCUGAAGGCCACUCAGAGCAUAGAUGCGCCAGCUUAGUUCUUUGGAGAAGCAGUGUGGAGUCCUAAAAAAGGAGGCUGAGUCUUACCGUUGAGGUCGGUGCCGGUAGAGAAUGGGAGGGAGUCUGCAGGAGCCAAGCACCCUAAAGAAGAGGAAGAGAGCACGUUGCUGAGAUUUGAACAGCGACCUGAGAGGUCAGACUGGACCCAGGCCUCCUCAAGCUGCUGGAGCCUGUUGCUUUUUCACACCACAGAUACUUCAUGCUGCCUAAUAUUCUACCGAGCCAGCCUAGGGGACUUGGAUCUGUCUCGCCUGGGGCUAAGAGAAUAGUUUCUCUAAGAAGAAAACAGUUCUAAUUCAAAGAUGCUGGAUCUGGCUUCCUUUAAAGCCUGAAGUCGCUGAAGUGGCCAUAGAACUAUGGGGUCCAGAGGACUGCCAGUCUCAGCCAGCCUUUAGGCUGGAGAGAGGCUGUGGGCCUGCUUGGGGACUAAAAUGGAUGAAUAAGAAACCUGUAAGAAAUGUAAACAGAUGGAAUGGCAAGGAGGAGAGCGCUGGAGAUUGUUCAGGUGUGAGCUGAGGUUUCUGAGUUUGUACUGGGGAUGCCUUUGCACACAGUGAGGUGCCCCCUCCCUAAGUGGCUCUUGUUUUGCACAAACAGCCCCACCCUGCGCACACACUGUGGGUCUCAGUAGGGACUGAGGGUGUAGGUGCUCAGGUUUUGGGGGUGGUGGUGAAGGGGCACUCAGAAUCAACAAGACAGGGCGGGGAAAAUCAAAAUCAACCAAGGAACCAGCCUUCCAUUUCUGAAAAGCCGCGCUCUGGCCCCCGUGCUUCAGUUCUGAAAUACGAAUAAAUGGAGUCAGAUCCCGUACUACACUCCGGGGACAGAGUUUUAAUGUAAACGUAAAAUAUGCUUGUAAUAAUCACUUGUGGGCCCUGAAGCGCCACUAGAAUGAAUCUCUGUUUAAUUAUAGGGCAUGAGAGGAGUAUUACCAGCUAAUUAAACCCCAUCCUAUUUGUAAUUCCC